CUCAUUAAAUCAGUUAUAGUUUAUUUGAUGGUCUCUUUCAUUUUUUUUUACCUACUUGGAUAACCGUGGUAAUUCUAGAGCUAAUACAUGCGCAAGGUCCCAAGCGCGGGGCGACUCAUCGUGGGUCGCUCGCAUGUGCAGAGGGAUGUAUUUAUUAGGUUAAAAACCAGCAGCCGGCAACGGCUUCAACUCCUGGUGAUUCAUAGUAACUCUUUCGGAUCGCAUUCAUG
rnacentral:rRNA from 1 species